rnacentral:rRNA from 1 species
GACGGAGGACUCAAGCGUUACCCGGAAUCAUUGGGCGUAAAGCGUGUGUAGGUGGUUUAGUAAGUGGGAUGUGAAAUUGUAUGGCUCAACCGUACAACUGUGUCCCAAACUACUAAACUUGAGGAUGGUAUAGGUGAGUGGAAUUUCUGGUGUAGGAGUGAAAUCCGUAGAUAUCAGAAGGAACACCAAUGGCGAAAGCAGCUCACUGGGCCAUUCCUGACACUGAGACACGAAAGCGUGGGGAGCGAACCGG